GUGGUGAUGCGAACUGUGGUUAUCGGUUAAGUAUUACAGUUUCGAAUGCCGAAGUGCCAAUUGUUUCGCUAGAAGAAAGACAAUAAAACGAUUUUGUGAGAAAAGAAAUUUUAUUGGUAACGUAGAGACGAUUCGAACACGUAUAAACGGUAUGUAUAAAAGUAUAAAAAAUAAAUAGCGAUGACGCUGCGACUUUGUAAAAGUCUUAAUGAGAGUGAAUCCAUCGUGAGGUGUUCCCAUUGUCGCCGAGAUCACGAUCACGAUCACGAUUACGAUCACGAUCACAAUUCGAUGACAAUAACUUCACUAGUGACAAAUAAUGACGAUAACAAUAAUCAUUAUACGAAUAA